ACUUAUCAUAUACUCUCUGGCGCGAUGGCAGGAGCGCAUGAUAGACUACUAAAUGGACAAGUAUCUGCAACGUUUAGCGUCAAAGAUGAUGCUUACCAGAUGUUCUACAGCAGCCCCAUCCAUAUCAUCGGCAUGAAGUUAGAUUUUGGCCUUCAUUCGUCAAAAGUUUGUGUACAAGGAACUCCAGGAGAAGAAUCUUUAAGUAAAUAAUUUAUAUAGAUCAGGAUCUUAUGUUUUCAAGGUGGCUGCUGCUGUGACCAAAGAUCAGCCUGGAGAUGUGCAUCAUAGUCUUAGUUGAUGUUGCCACCAUGUUUUGGUGCCUGUGUAUUUGAUUGUAUGUACACAUGUUAUACUGUAGAGCUUGAUGCUCAUCGGCUCAUGUGACAUAUUGUACACCUGUAGAGCUUGUUAUACUGUGAUCGCAUUUGUAUGUGUUGAUGUAA